UCCGUUUAAUCUGAUUAGGAAAAAGUAAAAGAAAAACAUUCUACAGGGCAGUUCGUCCAAGUUGGCCAACCCGCCAUCCAAAGGCCAAAAAUUAUUCCCAUGAAAAAAAAAAUACUUAUACUUUUUCCUAAUCUUAGAACACGAUACCAAAUAUAAACGCAUCCCCACUAUUUUUGUCACAUCCCCUAUAGGGAGCGUGCAUGAACUGUAGGAGGCAGCACAGGAGCCGUCAGAUUUUUGGCGCAAGGCGUAAAUGUGAUGUUUUUUGUUCCGAUGUAGCCCACAAGAUGGCAGAACCUACUAUGCACAAGAAAACACGUGACGUGUACAUGUGCAUGUUUAUGGUUCCGAUUCAGGCCACAAGAUGGCAGACCCUCCAACGCGCACGGUUCCUAUACUAGCUCGUUGUUUAGUAAUUAUUCUGCUAGAAUUCCACAUCGUGUUGUGUCAUCGUAAAAUACUACACAAAACAGGUUGUGAAUUCCACAUCGUGUUUUGUCAUCGUAAAAUACUACACAAAACAGGUUGUUUACUAUCCUGUGUUGUUGUGUUUCUGUUGAGAUCGAUAAAUAAAGCCAAAUUUCUGUUAAGGUUCUUGCGUCACAUGAGUAUGUCGGAAAGGAAUACUCGUACAACACGAGUGUUUGUGAAAAAACGGCCAUGCGUGUUUUUGGCAGACGAAAAGAGUUGAAGGUUUAACGGUUGCGGCUAUUGCCAUUUGAAUAUGGACUGUGAUUGAUGUUAAUAAGCUUCAAAUUCCUUUGGGUGGUAAGGUUCUCUCCCAUGCAUGGCUAAUUUGAAAUUUAAAGACGGUUUUGAUUUGUUAUUGAUAACUUAAUAAUAAUAAUAAUGAUGAUGACUCUCGCUGGGUGGCUGGAUCAAGGGUCUGAUGCAGAAGGCGGUAAUCUUGGACACGGCGCGUAUAGUGCGUCGGUUCCUCUCUCUGCGGCCCUGACCACCGGCAGCUUGGGCCCUGACCUGCUGCUGGCGGCACCCUAGGUUAGGUUAUAUGUAUUUUGUAUUAUUUUUGUACAACUUUUUGUAUUUUACUUUUAUAUCCAUAUUAUAAAAUCCUAACCUAAGAUGAAAGAAAAAUAAAGAGCACAAUAAUAAUAAAAUUCUUUAUUGCACACUAUUACAUUUAAAAGAAUGACAGAUUUACAUAUACAUAUAGCAAUGAGUCGAAUUAAAUUCUCCUACUAUACGUAAACGCAGUAAUAAAUAGAGUUUUUUUGCAGGGCACGCAGAUGUUCAGAAAGCGGUGGUACGUGCUGAUAGCCGCCGGUCUAUGUGCGCUCCACUUCUACUGUUCGUUGGACAUCCUGCUGCCCCGCUUCGAGGGGCAUCGGAGGUAAAUACGAGGAAAUAAAGACGUUCACAUCCAAGCUACACCAGCAUUACUGCUGCAGUGAUGCGGCUGAAUCCUCGGAUCGCCAUUGAAAUAAAAAACCAUUGCAAUUUCAAUCGGGACGAAGGUUUGGGGAUCUCAUCCACAUGGAAUCCAGUUAUUAGUACCUAUAUGUAAGCGGAAACGAAUAUCGGCAGUCAAAAAAUCGAAUAUCAUUAGUGUUGUGUGUCGACAGAGUAACAUUGCUAGUGCCCAAAACAAUAAACAAACCAAAUAAAUAAACAAAAUAAACACAUUAACACACACACAUUUUUGUUAUUGAUAAACAAGACCAAGUGCGGGUAGUUCAAAAACCUCGCGCGGCUAGAUGUCGAUAACUUUAGCUAGUCUUCUACGAGACUACGGGGAAAAUAUAGUCGUCGAAACCCUCCAACGCGCACGGUCUCUAUUAGAAGGAAAAUAUGCAAUAUGAAAAGUGUUCUUAAAUUGUGUGUUUGUGAUUAAGCAUUAACUUAGUGGAUUGCUUUGGAUAGUAUUUUAUUUUUUGUAUUUCAUUAAAGCAUAUUGUACCUCUCUGUAUACGUGCAGCCUAUGGAGGUCCUGUACGCGGACCCACGGGGCCCUCCGGAUACAAUAUAACAACGCGCUCCGGGUGUUGAUGCGGCUGCCUCGUUUCUGCAGCGCCUCAGGGAUGUUCGCAGAAGCGUGUGUCGACUGCUUCAUAGAUAAUACUAAGCGCAAACGAUGCAUAUCCCUGGUGCGCCGGGUGCUGAUGAUUUGUCACCUAUCAAGAAAUGUUUCAUAACAAGAUCAUAAAAAAUUUAAGUUCGAAUCGCCCUCCCGUUCCCAUUUGCAUUUUCUUUCCCAUUCACAUUCGCAUUCCCAUCCGCAUUUGCAUUCUCAUUCUCUUUCCUAUUCCCAUUCCCACUCUUAUUCUUAAUUCCAUUCCCAGAUACCAGCUCUAGUCCUUGUCCAAGUCCAACCUAGUCACUACGCCAGUCCCAAUCCUAGACGAGUCAAAGGAGUCCGAACUGGUGCGGUGAAUGUUCACUUUUAGAAUUUCUUUUUCAAGUAUUUCUUUUUUUAUAGAUCUGAUGUCUCAGGUGCCCCGUAUGAACCACUUUUGAAUUCAAUGGAAGAUGACGAUGAACUAUUGGAUUUAGAUAUAAAUAACAGGUAAGUAGUUAAGAUUUGGUAUUCAUAAGUUUGUGUAAAAAAUUUAAUGUUUUAUCGCUGACUGUACUUCUCUUUCAAUAGGCUACUAAUAGUUAUCGAGACAAUUUAAACAAGCCGCGUUAUUUUGUCAGAGAGUUCCUAGUUUUAUCUGGCAGUUAAUUUACUUCUUAAUUAGCUAUCCACCUCAAAUGCUUGCGUAAGAUCAUGAACAUCAGAUGGUCUGAUGAAGUACGAAAUACCGAAGUUCUACGACGAGCCAAGGUCGGUGGAAUAGAGGCUUACCUGAAACGUCGACAGCUUCGGUGGUGCGGUCACGUAUGGCGUAUGGCGGAGGAGAGAGUGGCGAAUCUAUUAUAUUCUAUGGAUAUGGACACUCCCUCACUUUGUUCUAUCCAAGUUGAUGCAGUUAGCUUGGACAGAUACUAAGUAUAAUUUGCAUAAUUUAUUAUUUUUCUUUUUCAGAACUGCUAUUAUCGAAUUCUUAGAGAGGAAGUUACAGAAUGUCCUAAAAUCGGACAAAGGGACUGGCUGCAAGAUCCCAAAACUGGACCCUUACUCCGACGACUUGGCGUGGUCUUACAAGAAACUGGAACCCCUGAAAUGCAAGGGACAAGAUUGGGUAAAGUGCUAUGUGAGUAUUAAAUAGCUCAAGUCCAUAAAAUUUAUCGGAGCGGUCAAGAUGUUCGCAAAUAUCUGAACAAAGUAUCUAUUAUCAAGAUCUUAAAGUAUAUGUUCAGAUAUUUUAUGCACUUUGGCCGCUGUGGUGUAUCUAAUGAUGACUGUGCAUGUUUUUUAUUUGAAAAUCUUAACAACCGAGAUCGGUCUGGCCUAGUGGGUAGUGAUCCUGCCUAUGAAGUCGAUGCUCCUUGGUUCGUUUACAGUAUCCCUAAGCUCCGUUUCAUCACUUCUUUUGCGCAGUGCUUCUCGGCAUUUCUCUUUCCGCACGUUUAUAACUUGUGACAUUAGGCACUGUAACGUACUUAAAGAAUCUGCUAGUCUUGGAAUUAUGAGGAAUCAGAAGAAAUUCUGAAACCUUCCCAAGUGUUUGCUAGAAUUCACAGGAUUACUUCUUCAAUCCUAUCCGAGUUCUUAAAUUCGCACAUUAGAUUACACACAUCACACACAUUUCCUCCCUCCUCACAUCAAGCUUAUACACAUAUAAAUUUACACUCCUCUUUCCUUUAUCUAAAUAUGCUUAUGUUUAAUAUACCUUGACCCCCCGCGAUACAGGCCAUACCAGUGCGGGGUUCACUGCAAAGUGGCUUUGUUAAAAUACCUUUUAUGUUAAAUAAAGAUUUAAUUUUAAUUUUAGCAUUCAAAAUGUCACGUCGUAGACUCAAUACUCGAUACACAUACAAACAUCCAGUGUAAGUACAGAAACAUUAUCUACAAAGGCGAUUUCUGCUACAACGUCAGGAAACUUACUGUGGUCAAAGAUGGUGACGUAUUCCAACUGUCAGCUAGUGAUCACGUCAACGUUUCCUGUACAGGAACUCUGUCAAGUAUGGGAAAGACUGAAAAAUGGUCAGGCAACACGCUCGGUUUCCGCCCUCUCUCCCCUCCCGCCAAACCUUUGGACGAUCAGAU